AGAGUUUGAUCAUGGCUCAGGAUGAACGCUGGCGGCGUGCCUAACACAUGCAAGUCGAGCGAUUUACUUCGGUAAAGAGCGGCGGACGGGUGAGUAACGCGUGGGUAACCUGCCCUGUACACACGGAUAACAUACCGAAAGGUAUGCUAAUACGAGAUGAUAUGCUUUUAUCGCAUGGUAGAAGUAUCAAAGCUUUUGCGGUACAGGAUGGACCCGCGUCUGAUUAGCUAGUUGGUAAGGUAACGGCUUACCAAGGCGACGAUCAGUAGCCGACCUGAGAGGGUGAUCGGCCACAUUGGAACUGAGACACGGUCCAAACUCCUACGGGAGGCAGCAGUGGGGAAUAUUGCACAAUGGGCGAAAGCCUGAUGCAGCAACGCCGCGUGAGCGAUGAAGGCCUUCGGGUCGUAAAGCUCUGUCCUCAAGGAAGAUAAUGACGG
rnacentral:rRNA from 1 species